rnacentral:lncRNA from 1 species
AGAAUUCAGAAUUGAUGGUGAUAUACGCCCAUUUGGAGUGCAUGAAGUACGAUAUGAAGAUGCGAGGUAUUUUGCAGAAUCUGAAAAAGAUAUAAAAUUGUCUCACGAACUCGAAGAGGGUAGAGUUCAGAGCGAUAAAAAAUUAUCAAAGGGGAAGAUAAAAAUUGAGAAUAAUAAAGAAAAUGUGAUUCCACACUUCGGAAGUGAUUCAGAAGAUUCCGAUGAUGAAGAACAAUUAAGAAAAAUGUUGGAAACAUUUUUUUUCAAGUU